UACGGGGGGGGCAAGCGUUGUUCGGAAUUACUGGGCGUAAAGGGUUCGUAGGUGGCUCGCUAAGUCAGACGUGAAAUCCCUCAGCUUAACUGGGGAACUGCGUCUGAGACUGGUGAGCUUGAGUGCAGGAGAGGAACGCGGAAUUCCAGGUGUAGCGGUGAAAUGCGUAGAUAUCUGGAGGAACACCGGUGGCGAAGGCGGCGUUCUGGACUGCAACUGACACUGAGGAACGAAAGCCAGGGGAGCAAACGGG
rnacentral:rRNA from 1 species